ACUGAAUAGAUACCCGGGUAGUCCACGCCCUAAACGAUGCAUAUUUGGUGUGGGCAGUUCAUUCUGUCCGUGCCGGAGCUAACGCGUUAAAUAUGCCGCCUGGGGAGUACAGUCGCAAGGCUGGAACUCAAAGGAAUUGACGGGGGCCCGCACAAGCGGUGGAGCAUGUGGUUCAAUUCGACGCAACGCGAAGAACCUUACCUGGGCUCGAACGGCUGAUCAACGGAGGUGGAAACAUCUUUACCCCGCAAGGGGGUUCAGUCGAGGUGCUGCAUGGCUGUCGUCAGCUCGUGUCGUGAGAUGUUGGGUUAAGUCCCGCAACGAGCGCAACCCUUGUCCUGUGUUGCCAUCAUUCAGUUGGGAACUCGCAGGAGACCGCCAGGGAUAACCUGGAGGAAGGUGGGGAUGACGUCAAGUCCUCAUGGCCUUUAUGUCCAGGGCUACACACGUGCUACAAUGGACGGUACAAAGCGCAGCAAACCCGCGAGGGGAGCCAAUCGCAAAAACCGUUCUCAGUUCGGAUUGCAGG
rnacentral:rRNA from 1 species